GCCAGGUGUGGUGCACACACCUGUGGUCCUAGCUACUCAGGAGGCUGAGGCAGGAGGAUGGCUUGAGCCCAGGAGUUCAAGGCUGCAGUGAGCCACGAUCACACCACUGCACUCCAGCCUGGGCGACAGAGCAAGAUUCUGUCUCUU
ensembl:misc_RNA Metazoa_SRP Metazoan signal recognition particle RNA